rnacentral:rRNA from 1 species
UACAGAGGUCCCAAGCGUUGUUCGGAUUCACUGGGCGUAAAGGGUGCGUAGGUGGUCGGGUGAGUCCGAUGUGAAAUCUCCAGGCUCAACCUGGAAAUGGCAUUGGAUACUAUUCGGCUUGAGGAGUGGAGGGGGGACUGGAAUUCUCGGUGUAGCAGUGAAAUGCGUAGAUAUCGAGAGGAACACCAGUGGCGAAGGCGGCUGCCUGGGGUAUUGCUGACGCUGAGGAACGAAGGCCAGGGGAGCGAACGGG